UCUAAUGUGGCAGAGUAGUGCAAUGGACUUAAACCCCAGACACAAAGGCUGACCUUUCUUUAGAA
rnacentral:tRNA from 1 species